AUGGGGAAAUUCCGCGGCAAGCUCUCCCGCCCACCGGACACCAACACCUUACUCCGCCUCGCCGCCCAACUCCAGUCAUGCGGCCGCGCCGGCGACCUCCGCCUCGCCCGCCGCCUCCAUGCGCGCUUCGCGCUCUCCGGCGCCGCCGCCGCGUCUGCCUUCCUCACCAACCACCUCAUCACCAUGUACUCCCACUGCGCCGACGUCCGCUCCGCGCUCCGCCUCUUCCGCGCCAUGCCCCGACCCAACCUCGUCUCCUGGACCACUCUCAUCUCCGGCCUCGCCCAGAACUCCAUGCACUGCGACGCGCUCGCCGCGUUCGCGUCCAUGCGCCGCGCGGGACUCGCGCCCACGCAGUUCGCGCUCUCCAGCGCCGCGCGCUCCGCGGCCGCCCUCGCCGCCCCGGGCCCCGGCGCGCAGCUGCACUGUGUCGGCGUCAGGCUCGGUUUCGACAGAGAGCUAUUCGUCGCGAGUAACCUCGCGGAUAUGUACUCCAAGUCCGGGCUCUUGGCUGACGCCUGCAGGGUGUUUGAUCAAAUGCCGCACAAGGAUACUGUUGCAUGGACUGCCAUGAUCGAUGGGUAUGCGAAGAACGGAAGCCUUGAGAAGGCCGCUCUAGCUUUCCGGGACAUGAAACGAGAGGGGCUAGUUGGAACUGACCAGCAUGUGUACUGCAGUGUUUUGAGUGCAUCAGGAGGGCUCAAGGAUGGAUGGCUUGGCCGAACUAUCCACUCUGCUGUAGUGAAGGCAGGGUUUGAACUGGAGGUUGCUGUGAGGAAUGCGCUCACUGACAUGUACGCUAAGGCUGCGGACAUGGAGAAUGCUGCUUGUGUUGUGAAGAUUGACCCUGGAGGUUGGAAUGUUGUGUCAGCCACCUCGCUGAUUGAUGGCUACGUCGAGACUGAUAAUGUCGAGGAGGCCCUUCGAAUAUUUCUUGAACUGCGGAGGCGAGGAGUUGAACCCAAUGAAUUUACUUUCUCAAGCAUGAUCAAGGGAUGUGCCACGCAGGCUCUGCUUGAACAAGGCGCUCAAUUCCAUGCUCAG
rnacentral:rRNA from 1 species